rnacentral:lncRNA from 1 species
CUCUUUUCCCUGCCCACAGCAUUUGCUGCCUGUGCUCUAUUCUUUCAUCUUCCCCUUGCUGCCUGUGCUCUAUGCUUUCAUCUUCCCCUUGCUGAAGAAACCAACAAGGUUAGUGCUUAUCUCCUAUAGCAAAAUCAUACUUCCAUGCUAUUCAAUAUAUCACAAUCACAUAUUUUUUUACUGUUUCAUUCAACUCCUUUUCAGCAUAUUUGGCUCAUUUGUUGCUGCACACCAUGAAUCCAAGCUACCGUCGUAGAUCAGAAAGUGACUAUGAAUUUAUUCAUUUUGUACUUCCUACUUUAGAAGAUG